rnacentral:rRNA from 1 species
UACGUAGGGUGCAAGCGUUGUCCGGAAUUAUUGGGCGUAAAGGGCUCGUAGGCGGUCUGUCACGUCGGGAGUGAAAACUCGGGGCUCAACCCCGAGCCUGCAGUCGAUACGGGCAGACUAGAGUCCGGCAGGGGAGACUGGAAUUCCUGGUGUAGCGGUGAAAUGCGCAGAUAUCAGGAGGAACACCGGUGGCGAAGGCGGGUCUCUGGGCCGGAACUGACGCUGAGGAGCGAAAGCGUGGGAGCGAACAGG